AAAAAAGUUGACGUACGUACGGAUUGACAAUUCGUAUGGUUCAUAAGGAUCAGUAAUCCGUAUGGCCAUACAGAUUGUCAAUCCGUACGUGUGUCAUCUUUUUU
rnacentral:pre_miRNA from 1 species